CCUAUAUAUGCAUCCACUUUUGUAUACUUUUUCUCCUUUUUCUGCUUCUUCCUCCUUUAUUCUGUACCCACUUUAUUUCCUCUUUUUUUAUUUCCCAUCUUCAUUUUACUCUUUGUCUUUGUCUCCACUCUCCAGGGACAUAUUCUCACUAUUUCUAUUAUCCUAUUUUUUCUCUUUUACCCUUCCCUUUGUACAUCAUUCUUCUCCUUCAAGGGAAUUUAUAUUUUCUACCUGCAUAAAAGGCAGGCUAUAGUCCAUCUUGGCAUUUGAUUUUGUGUUUUUAAGUGUACUUGUUUACUUAAAAAAUGUUAAAAGCUCUGAAAGGAAAUAAAAAUAAUAUUGCUUCUUUUUCUACCUCUUUUUAUUAGACUAUGAAGAGAGAAUCUCUAUGAGAUCCAAAAGUGCUACAUUAAUAAGCUCACUAUCAUCUCCGUGAAAAUUAAGCCAAUUAUUAUUGGCAACAACAACAACAAUAAUAAUAAAACAAUGGACUAUCAGAAAACCAGAUCAUGUAUCAAAUGUGAAGUCUGCUCUCCUAAGGGCUGGGUAUCAACGAGGGGCAGCUUCUUUAGUGGGAAGAAGCUCUCUGGUCCCCAGAGCCGCUGAAUCCUUCUCAAUCUCUGGUGUUGAUGAGGAACACUCCACAUGUAACAUCAUCAAGGCAUUUGCAGUAAGCCAGGUAGCAGGAGCGAAGUGUAUGCAAAUCAGGGAAAUGAACUCUCUCCUGAGGUCUUCCAAAUCACUCAAUUCUUGAAGCAAUUAGCAGAUAGUCUAUUUCCCCUUAAACUAGAUGCAUUUACAUUUUCUUCAUCAUUUGAAGCAUGUCUUCACACAUUUCAGGUUCUCCAUUAUAAGCAGAGAUAAGCACUAUGCACUUAUUGUCGAAUCCAGUGGAAUAAAGUCAAACACUCGUGGUAUGCAAUAUUCUAAUGUUGUAAAGAUCUGAUGAGUUUUUUCCUUUAAAAAAUACUGCAAAACAGACUACGUUUAAUUAUAUUUUCUCAGAGGUAUCUGGGGGAAGAAGGGUCAUAUGUUUAAGAGUGUUUAAUGUACUUUAAAUUAUAUCUUCUAGCAGGCUCCAGUACUGAUUUAAUAGGUCUGAUCUUUUGAAAUGAAUCCUAUAUCAUAUUUAUGAUGAUGUCUUAUUCGAGAAUGAGGCUAAAUCUAAUGAGAGACAAUUCCUUUGAUGAGAAAGACAAUUACAUCAUUUGAACUAACACAUCCAUAGCUGUUUCACCUUAUUGACUAGUAGCUUUGGAAAAAAAAUUAAAAAUUUAAUCUCAGGUUUUUGAUUGUCAUUUGUGAAUAAGCUAGAAUUAACUUAGUUGUGUCCAUAGUCAUGCAAAACAAAGAUGAAAUACAAAAUUGAAAGCUAGAGAUAAAACACAAUUUUUCAAUAUCCAUCAUUUUCAACUUCUCUAAAUACACUCCUCUGAAUUCAAAUAAAGGAUCAGAACUAGUAAAGAGGAAGCUAAUGGCCAACACAGUUGCAACUGAUCUCCCUUUUUUCAAAUCCUCUGGAUUCUUUGUUGGAAGAGCAAAAUGAGUACUGAAAUGGCUAAUGUGCCAAAGCAAAUUUCCAUACAAAUGCAAACACAUAACUGAGAGUAGAUUAUGUAAAACAUUAAUAAGUAUGAAUCUGUAACUAGUAAAAGGACUAGAUAGAGAUAGACCUAGUUUAACUUGAUUUUAAGGUUUCCCAGGUAAACAUAGAAAUUACAUUUUUAAAUUGUUGAAAUAGAAGAAUUUUCUUAAUUAAGCUUUUUUCUUUUUUCCCCCUUUUAGAAUGAACCUUAGUAUUUCAUUAAUUUUCUUUAUCAUUUCAGGAAGAAAUCUCAUCUAAUACCAUGUAGUCUAGACCUUUGAAUACUUAUUAAUGUAAAAACUUUAAGAGGUGACUCUUUUGUUGAGGAAAAAGUAAUGGGAAGCACAAGUCACAGUUUCAACCUAGCUAAGUUGGCAUAAUACUGAGACACCAUAGUUCAUAAAAUAUGUAUGGCCAAUUAAUAAUGUUGAGGCAACUAGCUAGGCAAGUCUAAAAAAAUCUAAAUCCUUACUUAAUAUCUGCAUCAUAAAUUCUAUAUGAAUGUAUUGAAUCAAAACAACAAAAAAUAUGUUCUCCCUAGCUCUUCAAUACUUUGACUUGAAAAUGAGAUUUCAAUUAUCUUUCCUUUUUUUUUUUUUUUUUGUGGUGCUGAGGAUUGAACCCAGGGCCUUGUGCCUGCAAGGCAAGCACUUUACCAACUGAGCUAUAGCCUUAGCCCUCAAAUCAACUUUUUAAAAAAAAGUUUGUAUGACAAUUUUAAUAAAACUUCAGAAUGUGCAAAAGAUUUCUUAUAUCUUACCCAAAUAUGAACUUGAUCAUCUGUUUACAUGUUGAUACACAUAGCAAAUGCAUAGUUUGGCAAGUUUCAUUCAUUUAUUUAUUUACUUAUUUAUUUAAUAGUACUGGGGAUUGAACCCAGAAGUGCUCUACCACUGAGCUACAUCCCUAGUCAUUUUAUUUUAAAAUUUGAGACCUGGUCUCCCUAAGUUGCUAAGGUUGAUCUCAAAUUUGAAAUCCUCCUGCCUCAGCCUCCUGAGUAACUGGGAUUACAGGUAUGCUCCACCAUAUCAGGUUGUCUAUUAACUUCUUAUGGAAGAAACUAAAAAACUCUUACCUGCUAAAUGGCCUGCACAGCAUGACAUUACACUACUAAAAAGAGGUAAUGACUUGUUUGUUUCUAAUAUUAAAGCUUCUGUAAUGAAAGCUUUUGAUUAUUUGUUAUUUUCUUCAAGUCCUGUAGAAGCCUUAAUAAGAUAUCUUGAGUGUAAAGAACAGAAGGAGCUAGCCUCCUGAAACUAGUGCCUACAAGAUGGCUACCAUGCUGGGUGUGGUGGUACACACCUGUAAUCCUAGAGGCUUGGGAGGCUGAGACAGGAGGAUCUCCAGCUUUAUUUUAAGAUUUUAUAUGUGUAUAUAUGUAUACAUAUAUACAUAUAUAUGUAUACAGAUAUAUGUAUAUAUAUACAUAUACAUAUAUAUAUGUAUAUGUAUAUAUAUGUUGUAGAUAGACACAAUACCUUUAUUUUGUUUAUUUAUGUGGUGCUGAGGAUUGAACCCAGUGCCUCACAUGUGCGAGGCAAGCGCUCUACCACUGAGCCACAAUCCCAGUCCUAUUUUAAAAUUUUAAGGUAUGAAUAUACUUGAAAAAUUGUGCCAAAUAUAUUCAUCAAAUCUUAUCCCACCCCUCAAAUAUUUUAUUUUAAAUAUGUUCAAAACUAUAGAAAUCUGUUGUAGUGGACUGCAGAUGGUUACAAAUUAUUGGAUACUCUUCUCAAUGAGACAAGUAGUCUCUUUCUCUUGAAUCUGAGAUGAUGUGACUUCUGGAGCAAUAGAAAAUGAUAGAAGUUAUUCUGUGCCUGUUCUGAACCUGGCUUUCAAGAGGACUGGAUGCUUCUGGUAUGGUUUUUUGAAGCCCUUAGCCACCACAGAAGCUCAACCAUCCUGGUGAAGAAAUCAUGUGGAAGGACCCUGAGAUUAAACAGAAAGGAAGAGGAUUCCAGCUAAAUCCAGCCAUUCCCACUACUAUAGUUUGGGUGUGUCUUUCAAAUCCAGGUACUGGAAAAUCUGUCCCCAAUGUGGAUGUGUUUGGAGAUGAGGGUCUAAUGAGAGGGGUAGGGUCAUAAAGGUGGAGUCUUCUUGAAUGGAAUAUCACUCUCAUGGGAAUGGAUUAGUUAUUGAGAAACUGUGUUGUUAUAAAAGUGAGUCUGCCCCUUUUGCUUUCUCUUUUGCAUGUACUCUUUUACUUUUUUACUUUCUAUCAUGUUACCAUGCGGUAUAAUGACCUUCGCCAGAGGCCACCACUAAACCCUUAGACAUCCCAGCCUCCACAAUCAUAAGCUAAAACAGAAUAUAUUUAUAAAUUUUCCAGUCUCUGGUAUUCUGUUAUAGCAAUAAAAAAUGGACUGAGACAGCCACCAAGUGGCUGUGUAUGUAUGUAUAUAUGUAUGUGUGUGUGUAUAUAUAUAUAUAUAUAUAUAUAUAUAUCCAGAUAUAUUUUGGAGUCUCUGGACCAGCCUAUCUAUUAGCUGUGUUAAUAUUCAGUUACCAAGUGACUCUAGGUAAUAAUAAUCCAGCCAAAUUCUCUCAAAUUCCUGAUUUACAAAUUGGUGAAAUACAAUGGAGUGGUUAUUUUUUAAGUCAGUUUUGGGGUAGUUGCAUAUGCAACCAUAGAUCAACCAUAGAUAACAGGAAUGCCCCUAUACCCUUUGCCCAUAUUCAUCAUGUUGUCACAUUCUUGUCCCUUCCUCCUCUCUCUCUUUUGCUGGAUCAUUUGAAAGUAACUUGCAAAUAUUAUGCCCCUGAUCUCUAAAUACUAUAGCAUGAAUUUCCUUCAGAAUUAUUGUAGUAUUAUCACUCCCAAGAUAUUUAAGGUUAACACAAUACUAUUAUCUAAUAUAUGGUUCACAUUUGGAUUUCACCAAUUAGUCCAAUAAUGCCUUUGUAUAGCUUUAAAAAAAAUUCCAGAAUUUUUGUCAAGGAUUACACAUACCAUUUAGUUGUCAUGUUUCUUUAAUCUUACUAAAACCUAGUAAAAUAAGCCCCUGUAUUUUUGCCUUUUGACAUUUUUGAGGAGUCCCAAGCAGUUGUCUUGUAAAAUGUCUUACCCUCUGGAUUUGUUAAAUUAUUUCCUCAUGAUUAUAUUAGGGCUAAACAUUUUUGGCCAGGGUACUACAUGGAUGACUACAUGGGAACUUUCCAUUGCAUCAUAUGAGGAAGCACAUGAUGUCAGUUUCCCAUCACUGAUAAUGGUCUGGUUUCACUAUUUGAUUAAGGUGGUGUGCAUGAAAUUUCUCAAUUAUAAAUGUAUGUAUAAUAUAAUGUAUAAUAAGGACUCUGUAGUCUUUAAGACUAUGUGAAUAUUUGUUCCAAGAUGACCUUUCACCACAUUGGUUUUAGAAUUCACUGAUAAUCCUAGCCUGAUUCAACUAUUGUAUUAGGUGGCUAUGCAAUAGUUGCAGAAUAUUUUAUGAUAACUAAAAACUAUAAAAAUGUAUUUUAUUUUGUCAGUUGGCAUGCUUCUCUAAAGAAAUUAUUUACUAUGUAUCUCUUCUUAUUUAUUACAAUUGAUUAAAACAUGUACUUUUAAAUAGUCAUGCUCUGCUAUAUAGCAGUAUUUCAGUCAAUGGUAAACUGUAUAUGGGAUGGUAAUACCAUAAGAUUAUGUCAUCUAAGUGAUGUCAUAGCUAUCCCAGUUUGUGUAGGUACACUCUUUGAUGUUUGAACCAUGAUGAAAUCAUCUAAUGAUUCAUUUCCUAGAACGCACCCCUAUUGUUAAGCUACACAUGACUGUAUUGCUUUUGGUGCUCUAACUUGUGUAGUUGGCUCCUGUAUUCCCUUUGCUUAUCCCCUGAAAUCUUAGUGCAUUUCUUUUUGACAUAGAUUUUUCCAGACUCCCUUUGUAAUUUUCUUGCCUCAGAUCUGGAACUUUCCUCAAGGAGUUCUGAUCUUGUAUAUUUUUACAAAAAUGGAAAUAAAGGUGGAGGUAUCUCAAGAAAAUCAAAGGGAAGCCAGUAGAAUAUAGAGGAAAGGGACCAAGGGGAGGUAGAAAGAAAAGGAAAGGGGAAUACUGUGGAAUGAUAUUGACCAAAUUAUGUUGUUAUAUUGUAUGCAUGUAUAAAUAUGUAACAACAAAUCCUGCAAUUAUGUACAACUUAAAUGCAUCAAUAAAAAAUGUGG
rnacentral:lncRNA from 1 species